rnacentral:lncRNA from 1 species
AGCGGAGUCCCGGUGCGAUUCUCGGGACUUCCGGCGAGUUACGGUAGUCGGUUUUGGGAAACUGAUCUCCGUAGGUUUGUUAGAGAGAUUAUGAUGUAGUGUCUCUUAGUUGUGGGUUAGACACUAACCCAGUGGAUCCUCCUUAGGUCCUGUUGACGUUCUUUUGCAGUCAGGUGACAGGCGCGACAGUUGUACAGGUGGGUACUUCGAUCCGACGUUGGUACAGUGGUGCACGUUCGGUGAUGGUUUCUUACCCUUG